GACUUCUUUUUUGAGCCGUUGGAUCUCAUCCAACGGCUGGAAUUUUAAAGAAGAGCUCGCGGGUCAAAAUCGCCCAUGAAUCGGGUAAAAUGGUUACCGGGUCAACCGGAUCCCCACAGGCGGAUCCUCCUUUUUCUUUUCCACAGCUUCCAGUGGAAGCUUUGCUUCAAAGUUCAAACGAGAGAGAGAGAUUGAGGGAAAUUUGAACGACGAAGAAGAGAAGAGCGACGACGAACGAUGAAUAAGAACUCGACUAAGAAAUCGACUUGAUCGACAAAUAAGAACGACGAAGAAGAAGAGGACGACGACAACGAAGAGAACGAUUGAAGGUAUUUCUCUCACUCCCUCUCUCUCUCUUUGGCUUCGAAUCUGUAUAUUUCGAGUUAAGGUUUUGCAACUUACAUGGUACAACCACGACGAACAAGGACGACGAAGACUCGACCUUCGUCGAGAAACAAGUUUUGGAUUGGCACUAUUUCUCUAAUUUUACUUAGACGUGUACAGUUGGCAUGGCUUCCGCUUCUUCAAAUGCCACAUUUGGAUGGGCGUGGGGGUCUUGUGCUUGUGAAUUUGGUGAAUGCAUCCCCACCAAGGCUGGUCGCAGAACGCAUGUUAACCAUAGAAAAUGCAGUCCGUGUUGUAAUAGUUAUUCCGGUGCCAAGCAGCAUUGCAGAAUGCGGUUGCAGAGCAAUCCAGCCAUCUUCGAAGUAAUCUACAAAGAAAUCCAGGAACAAACAGGGGAAUAGAACCAGAAUUCUUCAGAAAUAGAGUUGAUUCAUUUGUACUCUGUAGUUUUUAUUUAAAACCAUUAGAUUGGUAAAAACGGUUGAAAGUGAAUCUAUCUUUUGUAUUCUUUUCUUUUCUUGUGUUUUUAUUUUCCUUCCCUUUUGGAUGAGCAGAGUGUUGUAUCUACUAGUUUUUUUCGAAAAACUUAUCUACUAGUAUAGACACAUGUUUUUUAAAGCAGCGGAUGCAAAUGAGACAAAGGUGUUUGUGUAAAUUUAGAGUGGCAUCAUGGUUCUUUUUUCGUAUGAAAUUUUAUGUUUGUGUUUGGCCUAUAUUUUUAGUUUGAGGGAAAAGGAUGAGCUGAUUUUUAUGUUUGAUUAUGCCCUUGUUUUCUUGUACAUCUGGGUUAUGCAAC